ensembl:lncRNA
AUGGCGGAAGGGCUGCGGCGGGUGGUGCGGGGCUGGGAGGCAGCAGCUCCCCGGGGGGAGGCGCAGCCCCCGCUGCUGCGCUGCCGCGGCGCCCCUGCGCACCCCGCGUCCCCCCCCCCACGCCCCCCCCCCCGGCACGUCCCGCAUCCCCCCCCGUGCACCCUGCAUCCCCCACCUGCUCACCUCGCGUCCCGCCUGCCACGGGGGCCCCACAGCAAUGUCCUCCCUGCCGCUGCGCCCCACAUGUGGGGGUCCAGCUGGGACCCCGCAGUGCUGCCCCAUGCACCUGCCCUGUCCUGCACGUGUGGGUCCGGCCAGGACCCCGCGGUGCCGCCCUGUUGCACUGGCGCCAUCCUGCACAUGGGGAUCCAACCGGGACCCCGCGGUGCUGCCCCAUGCACCUGCCCUGUCCCGCACAUGUGGGUCCGGCCGGGACCCCACGGUGCCGCCCCGUUGCGCUGGCCCCGUCCCGCUGUCGGGCCGGCAGCUCCAGGCACCGUGCCGGGGUCUGCCCCGCGUUGCCCUGAGCCCUCCCGCGCUCGCGGCGCGCCGCGGCCCCUCGGCAGGCACGCGCAGCGCACACGCGCCGUACACGCAGCGCACACGCAGCGCGCCGCUCGCGCACGCCCCAGCCCGGCGCGGGGUUUGGUUAAUUUCCUGGCGACUGCAUUAGCGGGAAUGGAAGCCGAGGGACGGCAGCUCCUCUGGGGCCCAUUAAUCAUCCCCCUCAGACAAGCUGCCUUGAUUACAAGUGGCAAGAAAUUCAUUAGGGCUGCGGCUCUGACAACUUUUAUCUGCGCGGCUGGAUCUGACUCAUUAGGCAGCCAAAUUAAAGCCAUGAUGGGCCCUGAUGAAAUUCACUGCUUGUUUAUCUUGUGCGAUCUGAUACAUCUGCCCAUACAUCAUCUCCCGCGCGGGAUCCCGCCCGGCCCAGCCCCGGCGCCUCCCUUCCCAUCCCAUCCCAGCCCAGCCCGGCCCGGCCGCGGCCACAGCCGCAACCGCGGGAGGACGACCUCAGGGCCACGCGCUGCCCAUGGGGCUGCACAGCCCUGGCUGGGGCCAGCCCUGCCGCGGGCCGCAACACCCGCAGAGACCCUGGGACGGGGACGGACGCCGGCCCCGCUCCUGAGCAGGGGAUGCACGGCAGCGUCCGGGCACCAGCCUUGCUCCGCUCCACCAGGGACAACUGUGACCCCGCGCUGGGACGGCGUCCUGGCGAGCAGGCACGUCGCUGCCCCGGGGACUGGCCCGUCCUGCACACCGCUCCGGCAGCAGGUCUGGGCGCCCCGGCAGCCGCGUGCAUGUCACGGCCCUGCAUGCGUGUCACGGCCCUGCGUGUGCAUCAUGGCCACACGUGCACAAGCUCAGCCCUGCAUGCACAUCGUGGCCCAGCUUGCACAUCGCAGCCCGGCGUGCACACCACUCUGGCAGCGGGUCCGGGAGCCCCUGGCAGCUGCAUGCACGUCACAGCCCUGCAUGCAUGUCAUGGCCCUGCGUGUGCAUCAUGGCCACGCGUGCACAAGCUCAGCUCAGCUUGCACAUCGCAGCCCGAUGUGCACACCGCUCUGGCAGCGGGUCCGGGAGCAUGUCACAGCCCUGCGUGUGCAUCAUGGCCACACGUGCACAAGCUCAGCCCUGCAUGCACAUCACGGCCCAGCUUGCACGUCACAGCCUCGUGUGCGUGUUGGUGGCCCUGCAUGUGCAUCACAGCCCUGUGUGCACAUCGCAACCCGUUCCGCACACCGCUACUGCAAUGGGUCCGGGUGUCCCCAGCAGCCGCGUGCAUGUCACAGCCCUGCAUGUGCGACAUGGCCACGCGUGCACAAGCUCAGCCCUGCGUGCACAUCGCAGCCUGGUGUGCACAUCGCAGCCUGGUGUGCACACUGCUCUGGCAGUGGGUCCAGGAGCCCCUGGCAGCCACAUGCAUGUCACGGCCCUGCAUGUGCGACAUGGCCACGCGUGCACAAGCUCAGCCCUGUGUGCACAUGGCGGCCCAGUAUGCACAUCACAGCCCCACGUGCGUGCACAAGCUCAGCCCCCGCGGACCCUCUCCCAGCCCAGCUGAGCCUCCUCGGGGUGCACAGGAGCAGCCAUGCGGCGGGGGGCAACACGGCGGGGCCCCUGGCAGCUGCCCCAUGCGCCCUGCUCACCCCCACCACGCGCAGGGCUGGCAGCCCGCGGGCAGCUCUGAGGCCGGUCUGGGGCUGCGGACAAGUCUCCCUCCCUGCGUCGCUGCGCGGGGAGAUCCCGGCUGCGGCACCGCUGGGUGCCGGCGUUGGCCGGGUGAAUCCUGCCUGUGAGCAGUUUGGGGCCGAACGUGCUGCGCUGCCGGGCCGCUCGCAGGACGUCCUGGGCUGGGCGGAAAUGGACUGCUGUCACCAUCCACGGCGAGAGGAGACCUGA